ACCUGGCUGGCUCAGUCGGAACAUAUGACUCUCGAUCAUGGGCUUGUGGGUUCAAGUCCCACGUUGGGUG
rnacentral:tRNA from 1 species